rnacentral:rRNA from 1 species
GACGAACGCUGGCGGCGUGCCUAAUACAUGCAAGUCGAACGCUUCUUUCCUCCCGAGUGCUUGCACUCAAUUGGAAAGAGGAGUGGCGGACGGGUGAGUAACACGUGGGUAACCUACCCAUCAGAGGGGGAUAACACUUGGAAACAGGUGCUAAUACCGCCUAAAAGUUUAUGCCGCAUGGCAUAAGAGUGAAAGGCGCUUUCGGGUGUCGCUGAUGGAUGGACCCGCGGUGCAUUAGCUAGUUGGUGAGGUAACGGCUCACCAAGGCCACGAUGCAUAGCCGACCUGAGAGGGUGAUCGGCCACACUGGGACUGAGACACGGCCCAGACUCCUACGGGAGGCAGCAGUAGGGAAUCUUCGGCAAUGGACGAAAGUCUGACCGAGCAACGCCGCGUGAGUGAAGAAGGUUUUCGGAUCGUAAAACUCUGUUGUUAGGGAAGAACAAGGACGUUAGUAACUGAACGUCCCCUGACGGUAUCUAAACAGAAAGCCACGGCUAACUACGUG